GGGGGCAUACAUGUAGAACGCAUGCAUAAAAUCAGGGCCAGGUUUCCCCCAGGUGCUGGAAAUGCAGCCACGUCUUUCGGUGCCUAACAGGAGCUGGGCUCUGGGCAAUAUCUGGCCCAGGCUGUAGGCCCGUGCACAACAGAUGCACCAUGUUGCCAGCUCCUGCAGUUCUUUUCACCGGGGACGUGUGAUUUUCGUUGGCGGGUGCAGCCAGGCUGCUGAGGAUGUGGGAGGCUCCAGCCCUCUCGUGAAUUUGAGCCCUUGGACUGGCUGCCUGUCUCCAGGGACCGCUGCAGGGUGGAGGCAAUUCUCUCCCUGGCACCCCCCAGCAACCAAAGCAGGGCAACUCUUGUGUUCUCCUGCCACCCUCCCGGCAGCAGCUGUCUGGGAAGGGACAGGCCUGGGUGGGGAGCAGCCCCUGGAGCUUCCCCUCCCAGCCUGGGGACCCUGCUGCAGCCCCACUUCCCCUCUGGGUAGGGGUGAAGAACCCCAGGAGAAGCAGAGGCAGAGUGUUUUGCUUCCCCACCAUUGCACAUGGCAAGAUUUCUAUGCGCUCUGCUGGCAGGUGUGAGUCCUCCAGUUUUCAUCCAGACCACACCCCACACGAUCCAUUGUCUACAGCCAAGCUCUACGAUACAACCGCAUUUGCUCCAACCCCUCAGACAGAGACAAACACCUACAAGAUCUCUAUCAAGCAUUCUUACAACUACAAUACCCACCUGCUGAAGUGAAGAAACAGAUUGACAGAACCAGAAGAGUACCCAGAAGUCACCUACUCCAGGACAGGCCCAACAAAGAUAAUAACAGAACACCACUAGCCAUCACCUUCAGCCCCCAACUAAAACCCCUCCAACGCAUCGUCAAGGAUCUACAACCUAUCCUGAAGGACGACCCAUCACUCUCACAGAUCUUGGGAGACAGGCCAGUCCUUGCUUACAGACAGCCCCCCAACCCGAAGCAAAUACUCACCAGCAACCACACAACAAAAACACUAACCCAGGAACCUAUCCUUGCAACAAAGCCCGUUGCCAGCUGUGUCCACAUAUCUAUUCAAGGGACACCAUCAUAGGGCCUAAUCACAUCAGCCACCCUAUCAGAGGCUCGUUCACCUGCGCAUCUACCAAUGUGAUAUAUGCCAUCAUGUGCCAGCAAUGCCCCUCUGCCAUGUACAUUGGCCAAACUGUACAGUCUCUACGUAAAAGAAUAAAUGGACACAAAUCAAACGUCAGGAAUUAUAAUGUUCAAAACCCAGUCGGAGAACACUUCAAUCUCUGGUCACUCAGUUACAGACCUAAAAGUUGCAAUUCUUCAACAAAAAAUCUUCAAAAACAGAAAAAAUUCAUUUACAAACUGGACACCAUUAAAUUAGGCUUGAAUAAAGACUGGGAGUGGAUGGGUCAUUACACAAAGUAAAACUAUUUCCCCAUGUUUAUUUUCCCCCGCUACUGUUCCUUACAUGUUCUUGUCAACUGCUGGAAAUUGCCCACCUUGAUUAUCACUACAAAAGGUUUUUUUUCUCUCCUGCUGGUAAUAGCUCACCUUACCUGAUCACUCUCAUUACAGUGUGUAUGGUAACAUCCAUUGUUUCAUGUUCUCUGUGUAUAUAAAUCUCCCCACUGUAUUUUCCACUGAAUGCAUCCGAUGAAGUGAGCUGUAGCUCA